CAAAACGAACUGAUUCUUUAGU
rnacentral:miRNA from 12 species